AAGUCGUAACAAGGUUUCCGUAGGUGAACCUGCGGAAGGAUCAUUAACACGUAUCCAAACGUUAAACCCCCCCCGUGAACCUUCAUCCUGCUCUUGUAACCCGCGUAGUUCGCAAUCUCUGAUAAAUCAUAGCCCGGAAAGUUGUAGUGAUUCAGAGACCUCUGGCUACGUGCGAACAUUGAAACAGUUACAAUCGAGCGGUAGUUCUAUACAUUGGGUAAAAAAACCGAACAACUGUUAACAAUGGAUAUCUUGGUUCUC
rnacentral:misc_RNA from 1 species